rnacentral:rRNA from 1 species
CUACGGGUUGCACCAGUGGGGAAUAUUGCACAAUGGGCGCAAGCCUGAUGCAGCCAUGCCGCGUGUAUGAAGAAGGCCUUCGGGUUGUAAAGUACUUUCAGCGGGGAGGAAGGGAGUAAAGUUAAUACCUUUGCUCAUUGACGUUACCCGCAGAAGAAGCACCGGCUAACUCCGUGCCAGCAGCCGCGGUAAUACGGAGGGUGCAAGCGUUAAUCGGAAUUACUGGGCGUAAAGCGCACGCAGGCGGUUUGUUAAGUCAGAUGUGAAAUCCCCGGGCUCAACCUGGGAACUGCAUCUGAUACUGGUAAGCUUGAGUCUCGUAGAGGGGGGUAGAAAUCCAGGUGUAGCGGUGAAAUGCGUAGAGAUCUGGAGGAAUACCGGUGGCGAAGGCGGCCCCCUGGACGAAGACUGACGCUCAGGUGCGAAAGCGUGGGGAGCAAACAGGAUUAGAUACCCCAGUAGUC